CCUACCCAAAUUUGGUGAGAGAAUUCUAUAUGUUAAUCUAAGGAUUGAUUUUGAUAUAAUAAAAUAUUGAGUGCAAAUGGUACAAAAUUGUGUGUUUCAAGAAUGGUCGUAUGCUUUCUUAGGUGCUCAUGAAGAUAUAUCAAGUCAAGAAAGAAAUCUUCUCAAAGAAGCCAAGCCAAAAGAGUUUUCAAGAUAAAUUACGUAAGUUUAAAAGGUGACAUUAUGAAGAAAAAAAAGUGAGAAGUGUACUCACAAA
rnacentral:lncRNA from 1 species